UACGAAGGGGGCGAGCGUUGCUCGGAAUUACUGGGCGUAAAGGGCGCGUAGGCGGCACUGUUAGUCAGGCGUGAAAGUCCUGGGCUCAACCUGGGAACUGCGCUUGAUACGGCAGAGCUAGAGGAUGGAAGAGGCUCGCGGAAUUCCCAGUGUAGAGGUGAAAUUCGUAGAUAUUGGGAAGAACACCGGUGGCGAAGGCGGCGAGCUGGUCCAUUACUGACGCUGAGGCGCGACAGCGUGGGGAGCAAACAGG
rnacentral:rRNA from 1 species